GACCGCUCCCCCGGGAGCCGAGGCCAUACGGACAGCCGGGUCCGCUGCCGA
rnacentral:sRNA from 1 species